rnacentral:tmRNA from 1 species
GGGGCAGUCAAGGUUUCGACAGGGAUUCUGAAGUUGGAGAAGCUAUCCGCAGACUCCGGCACUGCGUUAAAAGCUGGAAUUAAAAUUAAACGCUGAAGAUAAUUUAGCAGUAGCUGCCUAAGUGCAGCUUGUCGGCCUUAGGGCACUCACACCUUAAGAACCCGGCAUCGAUCAUGUGAGAAACGACGUGCGGUAAGCUUUGCCCGCACGGGCGUACCAUGAAGCUACCGACGGUGAAAGGCUGCUGACUGCCGUUCACCCGGGGGAAUCCCAAAGAAUCAGCUAUGAUAGUAGAAGGACAAGGGAUGGAUUUUUGGACACGGGUUCGACUCCCGUCUGCUCCAC